rnacentral:rRNA from 1 species
GACGGAGGGUGCUAGCGUUGUUCGGAAUUACUGGGCGUAAAGGGCGCGUAGGCGGCCUGAGAAGUCGGAUGUGAAAGCCCGGGGCUCAACCCCGGAACGGCAUUCGAAACUUUUGGGCUCGAGAACGGAAGAGGAGAGUGGAAUACCCAGUGUAGAGGUGAAAUUCGUAGAUAUUGGGUGGAACACCGGUGGCGAAAGCGGCUCUCUGGUCCGGAUCUGACGCUGAGGCGCGAAAGCGUGGGGAGCAAACAGGAUUAGAUACCCUGGUAGUCCACGCCCUAAACGAUGUGCGCUAGAUGUCGGGGGACUUGUCCUUCGGUGUCGGAGCUAACGUGUUAAGCGCACCGCCUGGGGAGUACGGCCGCAAGGUUAAA